UGGAGAAUCUUGCACAAUGGGGGAAACCCUGAUGCAGCAACGCCGCGUGAAGGAAGACGGCCCUUGGGUUGUAAACUUCUGUUCUAAGGGAAGAUAGUGACGGUACCUUAGGAGCAAGUCCCGGCUAACUACGUGCCAGCAGCCGCGGUAAUACGUAGGGGGCGAGCGUUAUCCGGAAUUAUUGGGCGUAAAGAGUACGUAGGUGGUUUCCUAAGCAUGGGGUUUAAGGCAACGGCUUAACCAUUGUUCGCCCCAUGAACUGGGUUACUUGAGUGCUGGAGGGGAAAGCGGAAUUCCUAGUGUAGCGGUGAAAUGCGUAGAUAUUAGGAGGAACACCGGUGGCGAAGGCGGCUUUCUGGACAGUAACUGACACUGAGGUACGAAAGUGUGGGGAGCAAACAGG
rnacentral:rRNA from 1 species